GCUAGUUGUACGAGUUCAGACUCGUAGCAGAUAGCUCAGUAACACGUGGCCAAACUACCCUAUGGACCCAGACAACCUCGGGAAACUGAGGCUAAUCUGGGAUACGAUUCUCCCGCUGGAACUGCAGAGAAUCCGAAAUGCCCCGGCGCCAUAGGAUGUGGCUGCGGCCGAUUAGGUAGACGGUGGGGUAACGGCCCACCGUGCCGAUAAUCGGUACGGGUUGUGAGAGCAAGAGCCCGGAGACGGUAUCUGAGACAAGAUACCGGGCCCUACGGGGCGCAGCAGGCGCGAAACCUUUACACUGCACGCCAGUGCGAUAAGGGGACUCCGAGUGCGAGGGCAUAUAGUCCUCGCUUUUCACCACCGUAAGGUGGUGGUGGAAUAAGUGCUGGGCAAGACCGGUGCCAGCCGCCGCGGUAAUACCGGCAGCACGAGUGAUGACCGCUAUUAUUGGGCCUAAAGCGUCCGUAGCUGGCCGCGCAAGUCUAUCGGGAAAUCUGCUCGCCUAACGAGCAGGCGUCCGGUGGAAACUGUGUGGCUUGGGACCGGAAGACCAGAGGGGUACGUCCGGGGUAGGAGUGAAAUCCCGUAAUCCUGGACGGACCACCGGUGGCGAAAGCGCCUCUGGAGGACGGAUCCGACGGUGAGGGACGAAAGCUCGGGUCACGAACCGGAUUAGAUACCCGGGUAGUCCGAGCUGUAAACGAUGUCUGCUAGAUGUGCCACAGGCUACGAGCCUGUGGUGUGU
rnacentral:rRNA from 1 species